rnacentral:rRNA from 1 species
GUCUAUGGCCAUGCUACCUGAACAAGCCCGAUCCCGUCUGAUCUCGGAAGCUAAGCAGGGUUGGGCUUGGUUAGUACUUGGAUGGGACACCACCUAGGAAGACCAAGUGCUGUAGGCA